rnacentral:rRNA from 1 species
AGCGAACGCUGGCGGCAGGCCUAACACAUGCAAGUCGAACGAACUCUUCGGAGUUAGUGGCGGACGGGUGAGUAACACGUGGGAACGUGCCUUUAGGUUCGGAAUAACUAAGGGAAACUUGUGCUAAUACCGAAUGUGCCCUUCGGGGGGAAUAUUUAUCGCCUUUAGAGCGGCCCGCGUCUGAUUAGCUAGUUGGUAGUGUAAUGGACUACAAAGGCUACGAUCAGUAGCUGGGCUGAGAGGAUGAUCAACCACAUUGAGACUGAGACACGGCCCAAACUCCUACGGGAGGCAGCAGUGGGGAAGCUUGCGCAAUGGGCGAAAGCCUGACGCAGCCAUGCCGCGUGAAUGAUGAAGGUCUUAGGAUUGUAAAAUUCUUUCACCGGGGACGAUAAUGACGGUACCCGGAGAAGAAGCCCCGGCUAACUUCGUGCCAGCCGCCGCCGUAAAAC